CCGGAGUGAACGCACCACUGGUGUUCGGGUUGUCAUGCCAAUGGCAUUGCCCGGUAGCUAAGUGCGGAAAAGAUAAGCGCUGAAAGCAUCUAAGCGCGAAACUUGCCUCAAGAUGAGUCUUCCCUGGACCUUUAAGGUCCCUGAAGGAACGUUUAAGACUAAGACGUUGAUAGGCUGGGUGUGUAAGUGCAGCGAUGCAUUGAGCUAACCAGUACUAAUGAUCCGUGAGGCUUAACCUUACAACACCGAAGGUGUUUUAG
rnacentral:rRNA from 1 species